AAAACCCAAAAAAAUCUCUCAAAUAAUCGACAACAAAAGCAUAAAAAGGGGAGGAUUUUCAUGCCUUUU
rnacentral:sRNA from 1 species